UACGUAGGAUCCUAGCGUUGUCCGGAUUUACUGGGUGUAAAGGGUGCGCAGGCGGACUUAUAAGUCAGUGGUGAAAUCUCGGCGCUUAACGCCGAAACUGCCUUUGAUACUAUAAGUCUUGAGUUUGGUAGAGAUCCGUGGAAUUCCGAGUGUAGCAGUGAAAUGUGUAGAUAUUCGGAAGAACACCAGCGGCGAAGGCAGCGGAUUGGGCCAAUACUGACGCUCAGGCACGAAAGCAUGGGGAUCAAACAGGAUUAGAUACCCUGGUAGUCCAUGCCCUAAACGAUGUACACUUGAUGUCGGCUUGUAAGAGUCGAUGUCGGAGCUAACGUGUUAAGUGUACCACCUGGGGAGUACGCUCGCAAGGGUGAA
rnacentral:rRNA from 1 species